rnacentral:rRNA from 1 species
UGCAGUCGAGGGGUAGAGCAGCUUGCUGCUUUGAGACCGGCGCACGGGUGCGUAACGCGUAUGCAAUCUACCUUUUACAGAGGGAUAGCCCAGAGAAAUUUGGAUUAAUACCUCAUAGUAUGUGAGAAUCGCAUGGUUUUCACAUUAAAGUUCCAACGGUAAAAGAUGAGCAUGCGUCCCAUUAGCUAGAUGGUAAGGUAACGGCUUACCAUGGCGACGAUGGGUAGGGGUCCUGAGAGGGAGAUCCCCCACACUGGUACUGAGACACGGACCAGACUCCUACGGGAGGCAGCAGUGAGGAAUAUUGGACAAUGGGCGCAAGCCUGAUCCAGCCAUGCCGCGUGCAGGAUGACGGUCCUAUGGAUUGUAAACUGCUUUUGUACAGGAAGAAACACUCCCUCGUGAGGGAGCUUGACGGUACUGUAAGAAUAAGGAUCGGCUAACUCCGUGCCAGCAGCCGCGGUAAUACGGAGGAUCCAAGCGUUAUCCGGAAUCAUUGGGUUUAAAGGGUCCGUAGGCGGUUUAAUAAGUCAGUGGUGAAAGCCCAUCGCUCAACGGUGGAACGGCUAUUGAUACUGUUAAACUUGAAUUAUUAGGAAGUAACUAGAAUAUGUAGUGUAGCGGUGAAAUGCUUAGAGAUUACAUGGAAUACCAAUUGCGAAGGCAGGUUACUACUAAUGGAUGACGCUGAUGGAC